AACAGCAAGCUUCCUUGUUUGCUGUUCAGAGGCGGACUUCCACUGCAUGUCUCCUGUUGUCUGGAUGGGGGGAACAGCCAGUGUAUUGCCUUCCCAUUACUUUUUGCUUCCUAGAACAGGCAGACAGCUGCUCCAGGUGGACUGCAAUAAAACCCUUCAAGGAAAUACUGCAUAUAGCAUUGUUCCUACUCUCCUUGAGUGUUUGAAGGACCCCUCAGAAGGAGCAUGCACCGGGAGACGGGAGGGAGGAAGAAGGAAAAAAAAAAAAAAAAAACAAGAAAUAUCAAGGAGACACGGUUAAGCAUGAAUCAUUUCGGUCUCUCGGUUGAACCCGAGGCAAGAUCAGAUUUCACAUCCACCCUCGACGGGGCUGGCAUUUUCACACACGCUGCAAACCCCUUGGCGUGGAGAACACUGCUGAUGCGAAGAACGGUUACUUGUGCUAAAAGAAACGAAUGCCCAGAUCGUACGGGCAGGCUGGGAGGUACCGAGGUACACCCCCGGGCAGCUGCAGCUCCCAAGUGCGGGGGUCUCCGGGGAAAAGCAGAGCCUCUGGAGCGGCUUGACUGGCAGGAGGAGGAGGAGGAGGAGGAAAUCCCUCCGGCCGCUGCCCUGCGCUGACUCAGCAGCCGGGGCUGUCGGGGCGGGGGGACUCAGCCCUGGCUUUAAGGAGCAAGAAGGGCGUAGGGGGUGGGCAGGACUACAGAACAGCGGUAGGUUGGCAAGUUGUGCCACAUCCCCGGCACCCCCAGUGCCCCCGCCGCCGGUGGCAGCCUGCCCCUGGGCUGGUGCGCGCCUGCAGGAAGGAGGAGGGAGAGAAGGGGGGACGGGGGGGGGAAUCCCGGGGAGCCCCAGAGCCCACCCCCCCGCCCUGUUCCCGUACCUUCUUCCUCAAAAGCACCCCGCAAAGUGCUUUCUUUCCUCCCGCGAGGUGCCCUGAUGUUUAGCAACACAGAAAACAUUUUGUAACUUAAACCGGUGUUAUUGUAUUAUUUUGUAUACUCUUUUUUUUUCCACCUAGAUCUCUGAUUUUUCACGUCUCCUGCUGUGUUCAUGCUGGCUCAGGCGUGAUGCAUGUGCCAAACCGCAAAGCCUAUGGAGCACAGGUCCUUGCAGAUGAGGAGAGCUUGAGCCUGCGACUUCCGUAAAUUAAAGAGCUCUGUGUCUUCGUGUGUCUGUGCACUGACUGUUUUCAGAGGGUUUUAGCUGUGGUUUGCCGCUCAGUAUUGAAAGGUGUUAUUGACACUUACAGGAGAAAAAAUGAGAAUGAGAUUUUUUUUUUUUUCCUUUUCAUUCAUUUUAAGUAUAAUGGUUUCUCUUUGGUUUUCCUUCUUCUAUUGUGUCCCCUACUAAUAGCGUGGGCACCGCCGUGGGAGGAGGACUGUUGCACUUCUCCACCGCAUCGACACGUGCUCUGUGUUUGCUGCAGCCCGGAGUACCAGGCUGUUGAGAAAUAUUCGAUCCCAAAUGUAUACAGUGAUGGUUCUUAGACUGCCCUGGCGUAAAGAAUCCACCUGGUUGAGUACAGUGACCUUGCUUCCUCCGAAAUAAAGAAUUUGAAAAGCAGUGACUCAUUUCCAUGAACGUCUUUCCUGAUUAAUACUGAGGUUUUUAUUCUAUUCCUGUAUUUCUAGAAUGGUGGCAAUAUUUAUAGUGGGAACGCAAUUAUGCCUUAGAAAGCAUGUUAAUGCAUAUUAAAGACUUGAGUGUUACCCGAGACAUAAAGGGGUUGUAAAAUCUGCCAGUAGGGCAGACUGAAAGCCCCGGUCUCUCAGAUUAAACAUGUGCCAAAAAGUUCAGAACUACUGUGUGAAGAGCCGUCAUUAUCAGACAAUAUGUGAAAAACAUCGUUUCCCUUGCUCAUUUUUAGUGCACGAAAUGUAUCUUCAUGGCAUCCAGAUGAGACUGUACACUUUUU